rnacentral:rRNA from 1 species
AGCAGCCGCGGUAAUUCCAGCUCCAAUAGCGUAUAUUAAAGUUGUUGCAGUUAAAAAGCUCGUAGUUGAAUUUCGGGAUCGAUACGUCGGUCGUGCCUUCGGUACGUACUGUCGUCAUCGAUUUCUCCCUUCUGACGAACCAUGAUGUCAUUAAUUUGGUGUUAUGGGAAGUCAGGACUGUUACUUUGAAAAAAUUAGAGUGUUUAAAGCAGGCAUUAGCUUGAAUACAUUAGCAUGGAAUAAUGAAAUAGGACGUUCGAACCUAUUUUGUUGGUUUUUAGGAUCAACGUAAUGAUUAAUAGGGAUAGUUGGGGGCAUUAGUAUUCAAUUGUCAGAGGUGAAAUUCUUGGAUUUAUUGAAGACUAACUACUGCGAAAGCAUUUGCCAAGGAUGUUUUCAUUAAUCAAAGAAC